CUCAUCCAAAGUCCACAUGCUCUGUAAUAUGCUGGUAAAUCUUGCGCCUUCAUUCAGCGGCAUGAGUGUUGGGGAUUCCGGGAGGAGGGAUAGUGCCCAAUUCAUCAUGGCAUUCGUCCCUGCCUGAACCCGAAGCACCCCCACACCAAAUAUAUGUACCCAGGUCUCCGGGAAGAGGUGGCAGUCAUUGCACUAAGGGAAGGGGGGUAAGCCUGAGAGGUGCACUUUGGUGGAAGCAUGGUCACCCAGGGUAGACCCGUGUUCCCUUGAACUCCCCACCCAAAGCCCUUUGUGUAUAGUCCCGGCAUACCUGCAAUUGUCCCAGUCUAAGUUAGUAGCUCUGCUCCGUUAAUAGGGAUCGAAGUGACUUUCUUCGGAGGGUGGUUUUUAGGUGCUUGUUGAGAGGCCACGUGACUCGGGAUGCUAAGAGGUGUUUGACGGGUCAGGUGGGUCUGCACUCACUCUUCCGGGGAAGUCGGGUUUCUGCGCCGUCUGGCAGGCUGAACAGAGGGGGAC